rnacentral:rRNA from 1 species
UACGUAGGGUGCAAGCGUUUAUCCGGAAUUAUUGGGCGUAAAGAGCUCGUAGGUGGUUUGUCGCGUUGUUCGUGAAAACUCACAGCUCAACUGUGGGCGUGCGGGCGAUACGGGCAGACUAGAGUACUGCAGGGGAGACUGGAAUUCCUGGUGUAGCGGUGGAAUGCGCAGAUAUCAGGAGGAACACCGGUGGCGAAGGCGGGUCUCUGGGCAGUAACUGACGCUGGAGGAGCGAAAGCGUGGGGAGCGAACAGG